rnacentral:rRNA from 1 species
CUAUAAGACUGGGGAUAACUUCGGGAAACCGGAGCUAAUACCGGAUACGUUCUUUUCUCGCAUGAGAGAAGAUGGAAAGACGGUUUACGCUGUCACUUAUAGAUGGGCCCGCGGCGCAUUAGCUAGUUGGUGAGGUAAUGGCUCACCAAGGCGACGAUGCGUAGCCGACCUGAGAGGUGAUCGGCCACACUGGGACUGAACCGGCCCAGACUCCUACGGGAGGCACAUAGGGAAUCUUCCG